UACGGAGGGUGCGAGCGUUGUCCGGAAUCACUGGGCGUAAAGGGCGCGUAGGCGGCUUCUCAAGCGUGUGGUGAAAGUCCGGGGCUCAACCCCGGAUCGGCCGUGCGGACUGGGGAGCUCGAGUUCUGUAGAGGCGGGUGGAAUUCCGGGUGUAGCGGUGGAAUGCGUAGAGAUCCGGAAGAACACCGGUGGCGAAGGCGGCCCGCUGGGCAGAGACUGACGCUGAGGCGCGACAGCGUGGGGAGCAAACAGG
rnacentral:rRNA from 2 species